GUAAAGGAGGGACCCAAGGUUAAUCUAGUGGGGUCUAAAGAGAGAUAUGGUUUAAGUAAAGUAUAAUCCAGCGAAGGACGAGUAGGUAAAGGCGGGAGCGACGCCAUUACUCAAAGCAAAAAGAAAAAACUAUGGAAUGAAGCAGAAGCAGUGAAUGAAAGAAUAAAGAUUAAAAGAAAUUAGAGAAGACGAAGAGAAGCGAAGGAUGAGUUUCGUCUGAGAAGAUGAUGAAGAAAUAGAAAAGACAAAAGGAAUGAAAAACUUAACAAGGAAGGAUGAAGAGAGCCGUCGUAUCGAACCGUCGCAUCGAAGCGAGUUCCGAGGUCGGCUAUAAUGAUGAAUAGACGGCGGCAAUUAAGAUGAUCUGAUUAAUGCCGCAUAUGAGAAAAAAAUAGGGAAAGAGAUCGGGGCCGUAAAAAAAAAAAAUGGACGGCUAAGAUUAAACCGUACAGAGGAUCACGCCUCGGAUUAUGCCAAAUACUCGUACAGAGAAUUUGAAUUUAAUUAGACCGAGAACCACGCCUCGGAUCGCGCUUGUUAGUGAAGCGAUGGCGGGAUUUCGGCAGCAGAAAAAGUGGACGGUUGAAACGAAACCGUACCAAGAGUUUGGAAAGUAAUCGCACCUCGGAUUACGCCAGCUACUAAAGCGUU
rnacentral:lncRNA from 1 species